CCUCAAACUAGGGAGUAGCUGCUAGUGAUUCAACAUAAAUGAAAGGAGCCUGUUCUCAUAAUCCACAAAGGUAUACUCUUUGCUGUGUAAGGAGCUGGCUGGAGGGCCGGGCCCAGAGGGUGGUAGUGAAUGGAGUUAAAUCCAGCUGGCAACCCGUCAUGGUGUUCCUCAGGGGUCAGUACUGGGGUCUGUCCUGUACAAUAUCUUUACUGAUGACCUGGAUGAGAGCACUGAGUACACCCUCAGUAAGUCUGCAGAUGACACCAGGUUGGCUGGAAGUGUCGAUCUGUAUGGGGGUAGCAAGGCCCUACAGAGUGAUGUGGACAGGCUGGAUCACUGGGAUGAAGCCAGUGGGAUGAGGUUCAACAAGAUCAAGUGCUGAGUCCUGCACUUUGGCCACAACAACCCCAG
ensembl:lncRNA